GGUCGGUUUGGCCGGAUUUCACACAGGUGUUGCAUGGCUGUCGUCAGCUCGUGUCGUGAGAUGUUGGGUUAAGUCCCGCAACGAGCGCAACCCUCAUCCUUAGUUACCAUCAGGUUAUGCUGGGGACUUUAAGGAAACUGCCAGUGAUAAACUGGAGGAAGGUGGGGAUGAUGUCAAGUCAUCAUGGCCCUUAUGGAGUGGGCUACACACGUGCUACAAUGGUGAUUACAAUGGGCUGCAAGGUCGCAAGGCUGAGCUAAUCCUAAAAAAUCAUCUCGGUUCGGAUCGUUCUCUGCAACUCGAGAGCAUGAGGUUGGAAUCGCUAGUAAUCGUGGAUCGGCAUGCCACGGUGAAUACGUUCUCGGGUCUUGUACACACUGCCCGUCACGCCAUGGGAAUUGGUUUCACUCGAAGCU
rnacentral:rRNA from 1 species